rnacentral:rRNA from 1 species
UACGGGGGGGGCAAGCGUUGUUCGGAAUUACUGGGCGUAAAGGGCUCGUAGGUGGCCAACUAAGUCAGACGUGAAAUCCCUCGGCUUAACCGGGGAACCGCGUCUGAUACUGGAUGGCUUGAGUUCGGGAGAGGGAUGCGGAAUUCCAGGUGUAGCGGUGAAAUGCGUAGAUAUCUGGAGGAACACCGGUGGCGAAGGCGGCAUCCUGGACCGACACUGACGCUGAGGAGCGAAAGCCAGGGGAGCAAACGGG